AGUGAAGAUUUUGAUGAACUCUCACACAAUCUAUUUUUUGCGGCUCCACUAUUGGUGCUGUUUGGAGUUAGGUCCUUACUUCCUUUUUUGGCAAUACUCAUAUCUGAACGUGUCUAGGGAUUUAGCAGGGCAAACAUUUUUACUAGUUAGGAGUAAAUAUACUUUACUAAUUUGCACAUUUCUGCAGUAUAUGCUAUACAUCUCUUACAGGGGAGAAGAUACUUCUUAAUUGAACAGAUGCAGAAAUCUCACAUGUAUUUUGCCGACUGAGGAAUGCAAUCACAACUACCA
rnacentral:misc_RNA from 1 species